CUCUCUCUCUCUCUCUCUCCCCCUUCCUAUUUAUAUUUUGUGGUCUUAAGCCUUACUUUAGCUGUCUGUGAUUUAAACCUGGCUUCUCAGAUAUUCUCUGGGUUCUGUCUACAUUUAACAAUCUACAAUUCCGAUCUGGCCGGUUUGCAUUUAACCAUAAAUAGGGAAGGUUUUGAAGAAAGAUUUCUCAGACCUUCUGGAGAGAAGCUGUUGCCUACACAACUCUGGCCGACCCUCUUGUGAAAUUUGCUCCAACCAGAGCAGGUGGUGGUUCUCUGUUUUCUGGUUGCCCUUCUUGUCCAUCUUCAUCAUCUUUGCCAUUCUUUGGCGCUCGCUCAUUGCUUCGGCACCUUCCGAUUGAUUACGGUUAAAUUUUCAUCAAUCCGUCCAUUUUAUGCGUUAAUAGAAGCCGUUCGAGAUUCGGUAGCGUAAAUUUCAAUCUUCAAAAAUAGAGGAAGUAACAAAUAAAAGUAGGUGAUAAAAGAUAAAAGAGCGUUUAUUUGAGCUUCUUUUGGGAAUCUGUUUUAGCCAGUUCUUCAAAAUGGCAAAAUUCACCUGCUGCUUCAGGCUAUCUGGGGAGGAGAAGGAAAAAAAGGUUGGUGAGAUAUCAUCAAGAUCUGCUGAGUUCAACAAGGGGAUCAAGACAUUGAAAAUUAGGCUUGAGCAUCCAGUGAAACCUUACGAGAGUGAUGAGUUGAAAACGACCUCUUUUAGCGUGUCAGUGGACUCGGUACCUUUGGUGCAGAAGGAUUUUCCGAGUGUCAAGUUAACGAGUCAUGAGGGUCUGGGUAGGGAUGAAGCACCAGAGGUUGCAUAUGAGGGGGGAGAUGAACACGAGGAGAAUGCCUCGAUGAAGAGGGACUUGUCUGAUAUCAAUCUCCAAGGCCACGGACCUAAUUCAGGUGAAGAGUUCACUCCAGUAAGUCCAAAAUUCAGUUUCUCUAAUUCAUUUGAUAUCAAGGUCGAUGAACAAUUUGCAAACAAAGCUGAGAAACUUAGUGACAAGGGUAUUCAUGAGAUCCAAAGUGGUCAUGUUAGUGAUCCUGGGAUUGGUAAGGCUGAGUUCUGGGGUUCACCUAAGCUUAAACGGUCUUGCUCUAACCUCGAAACGAGCAAAGUGCUAAAAAGAAUGACCGAUCAUUCUGCUCCUUCAAAAUCCCCAUAUUCUGGUGAGUCGCAAGAAAUAGAUGAGAAAUUGAGGGAACCUGGCAGCCCUGUAUCUAUAACAAGCCAUCGCAGCGCUGAUAGAGUGAUUUUAAAAAAACAUUCCUCAAGCCAAGUUCUACCAUCAAGAAGUAGAAAGCUGUGGUGGAAAUUGUUUCUCUGGAGCCACAGAAACCUGCAUAGACCGUGGAUAGUGAAACCAAAACCACAAGUAGUUAAUACUUCAAACCAGCAAUGUGGGUAUGCUUCAGAUACAGUUGAGCCAAAUCAAGCUAUCAUAUCGAGCAACAUACAAUCUCCAGGGUCAUUUACUGGGGAUUCCUUGAACAAAGGAUGCGACAACAAUUAUGAUGACAAUCAGAGCUGGUACGAUUUUCAUGGUGGGAUAUCUGGCCGAUGGCCUCAGAAACACUGGGUUGCUUUCUCAAUGGAACCAUCCCCUUUUACAAGAGUGGAUGAGUGGGUAAAGGAUCUUGAGACCCAAGCACCACCUCCUCAUAGUUAUGAUGAUAAUGAUGCAGAUAAUAGUGGUGAGGGCAUUGUCUUCCCACCCUCUCCUGAGACUGGUAGAUCACCAGGAAGAACCACGGCCAACUUGACUCGACGUCCAGACUUUAAUAUCUCAGAGGAGAUUUUGCAUGCCAAUGCUGUCAUCCAAUCUCUGAAUCCUUGCUCAACUGUAGCUCACAUAUCUGGUACUGGCUUAAAGGCCAUUCCCACCUUAUCAUGCUUCACCAGUCUUCGAUCUGUUAACUUGUCUAACAAUUUCAUAGUCUAUAUCAGCCCAGGAUCAUUACCUAAAGGCCUCCACACGCUCAAUUUGUCAAGAAACAAAAUCAGUACCAUUGAAGGACUCAGAGAAUUAACUCGACUGCGAGGGCUUGAUCUCAGUUACAAUCGCAUUUCUCGAAUUGGACAAGGUGAUUUUUCUCUCAUGAAACUAAUGUCAUUCAAAUCUUUUCAAUGAGAUUGUGCAAAUUUUCCGUGAGAAAUGAAAUAGUCCUCUUAAACUCGUAUAGUUAUAAAUAUGCACAUUGAAUUUUGAUGAUAUCAGGGUUAUCAAACUGUACAAUAAUCAAAGAACUGUACCUUGCUGGGAACAAGAUUAGUGAUGUAGAGGGCCUACACAGGCUUCUGAAGCUUACAGUCCUAGACCUGAGCUUUAACAAGAUAACAACAACAAAAGCUCUGGGGCAGCUUGUUGCUAACUAUAACUCAUUGCAAGCUCUGAAUUUGUUGGGCAAUCCAAUUCAGAGCAACAUCAGUGAUGACCAGCUUCGCAAGGCAGUUUGUGGUCUCCUUCCAAAGCUAGUUUACCUAAACAAACAGUCCAUCAAACCGCAGAGAGCACGAGAAGUUCUUACAGAUAGCGUUGCCAAAGCAGCCCUUGGGGGGACCAACAGCAGUUGGAGCUCUCGCAGAAGAGCAGCAAAGAGAACAAGCUCCAAUGGUUCAGCCUCCUCCAAUUUACACAGGAAUAGUGUUGGUGCAAAACAGAAAAGUAAGAGCAGGUCAAAGAGCCGAACACAUCACCUAAAGACAAUGUCAUCAAAGCAUGCUUCUUCCUCCCGUUAAAAGUUUUCCCAUGCAGGAAACCUUCCCUAGUAAUUCAAUAUCACUCUGUUAAACAGUUUUCCGUUUCUAUGUUUUGAUUAUCAUCCUAAGACUGUUUUAAGACCAUGUAAUUUCCGGAUUCAACAAGAUUUAGUGCAUUUUGCAUUUUGUUUUAUUUUAGUAGACAAGUUUUGUGCUUCUUGUGCUGUGAUGGAAUGCAAUGCAAAUUUCUUAGUGCAGUGGCAUGCGAUCGAUGAAACACCGAACAAACGUUGUUGCAGAUAAGCAUUAGUGUGUGGAUUCCGUCUUUGGCUUAGACUGUUGCAUGUCAGUUAUAACGUACCAAGUAUGUUAUUCUAGUUGGGCAGGGAGACAGUUAUCAUGUGCCCACCCGUCCCAAAGAAUAGAGAAGGGGACAAUUUGAAGUCGGGCCAAAUUAAACAGAAAGGAAAAACGACCAUUGAGAGAACAAAGAGCUGACACCCCCUUUUGAAUCAGAAAAUCAUCAGUAACAACUCUUAAGAGAAUCUUCUUUUGUUCUUAUCUAUCAACAAAUCAUUCCUUACCUCACAAAAUAAAACUGCUUAAGGAUCAUUUUCCAAACCAUUACGUACCCAGAAGCAAAAUCUUUUUGAGCAUUCCAAAAAGGUGAACAAAGCUGGCACCCAAUCUAACAAGCUUCUUUUGCCAAAAUAAACAAUUUUGAAAUACAUUGCAUGGACAGGAAGGAGAUAUAUCUAAAUACGGCUUAUUUAUUUUAUGCCAAACAUGCUAGUUCCUUCCUAAACUAGAAUCCAAUUCCCCAUCCUUCGUUUGAGCAUACUUAUACAGCUUCUCAUUGAAAAGCACCUGUGGAUCCUUAUUUACCAAACUCCCACUCUCAUCAUAAGCAUCUUUCAAAAACACAACCCAGUUCAUCUCUGUCCCUGCAAGAUAAAAUGUCCUGGGCUGCCUCUUAAGCAUAUCAUAUGUAUGUCUAGUCAAGCAAAAUUCCUCCUUGAACUCCACAAUAUGAUGUAUUGAAGCUCUUUUCUCCAAAGUCAAGCUUAGAAACUCAUGCAAAACCCCAAUCCUAUACUUCUCAGCCUCCAAACUCCAAAGCUCUAAUCUCUUUCCAUCACUAUAAGGCGAAACCAGUGGCAAAGUAUUCAACAAAUUCAUCUUCCUUGUAUCCUCUUCGUCCAAAUCCAAAUCCUUUGCGUGCUUCACUGGAAAUUUAAAUGUGUUUUUAACCUUAUCCUCAUCGACCAUGAACUCUUUCUCCAAUUCACUGAUUGCCAAUUUGGGGUCCCAAUCCACUAAUUCUAACAUUCUUUUCCCAUCAUCCGCAACCACAAUUCUAAAAUAAUCUGGAUAUUUAACCACUCUAUCUCUAAAAUCAUCAGGAAUCCCAAACAAUAAUCGGCAAUGAUGAAUCUUACUCAAAGGAAUCUGAUUAUUCUUCGACAUCAUCAACAACUUUCGGACCUUAUUAAUACGGUCGCUCUCCAUAGAAUCCAUGAUCGAUUUUUCUUCCUCGAGCAAAUCCUCCAUGAAACCCGUGAAUCCGAACCACAUUUUAUUGUCGGUGUGCCGAUAAGUUUGGAAGAUGAGCGGGUGGCGCUGAACAAAGCGGGUAGCUUUGCGGCCACGUGGGAAGCCAAGCUCCCGAUACAGCUUUCCAGCGUCGUCGAGUCGCAGAACGUGCUCGGGUUGUUGGGAGAGGAAUUGCUUGGAUUUGGUGAGGAAUCUGAAGCAAGCAUCGCGCUCGACGAUGAAUUCGAAACAGGGGUUUCGGGUUGAGGCGUGCUGGACGGGUUUGGUGCGCGGGGAUUCGGAUUUUUUGCGUUUCUUCUUGUACUUUUUGGGGGUUUUGGUGAUGAGGAAGGAGGUUGAGAACUGAGAAGUUAAGACGAGAGAGAAGGGGCUAGAGUUAGGGUUUUGGAAGAAAGGUGAAAUGAGGGUUGUGGGUU
rnacentral:misc_RNA from 1 species